UAGGGCAAUGCAAGGGAGCAGCUAACAACACAGCUCAAGUCAGACUGCCAGCUUCCUGCUCAAAUUCUUCCUCCAACAUCUCCCAGCUGUGUAAUCUUGGACACAUUGAUUAAUCUCCAUCUCCACAACUUUAAAAUGGUGCUAACAAAUGCAUGCACUAAUGAAUAUUAUUAUUAGAAUGGUGGUUGGAUGAGUAUUUUACAUACAAAAUGUUUAAAGAAUAUGUGGCUCAUAAAAAGCACUGUAAGUUUAGCUAAAUAUUGUUUCCUGUAAAAUAGGGCUACCUUAUUAGGAUAAGAGGAGAUUAUAAAAGAUAGGCUUUUAUAACCAAGAUGUUCAUCUUGGUUCUGAGAAAACUCUCAAAAAUACAUUAGUCUGUGCUCUUUAUUUGAUGAUUAAAAUCUUGAAAAAGUAUUUGUAAAUCAGUGCAUAUUUCACAUGCACUAGGAGGGGCUAUUUAAAGGAAAUUAUCAGGGUAAUGCAAUUAUUGUUGUAAAUUUAGAUUCCAAUAAAGUAUUUUUUUCUGUAAGGCACACCUAUAAUAAAGGAAUAUGAAUAAUUAUUAA
rnacentral:lncRNA from 1 species